rnacentral:rRNA from 1 species
CCUACGGGUGGCAGCAGUGGGGAAUAUUGCACAAUGGGGGAAACCCUGAUGCAGCGACGCCGCGUGAGUGAAGAAGUAAUUCGUUAUGUAAAACUCUUUCAGCAGGGAAGAACAUGACGGUACCUGAGUAAGAAGCCCCGGCAAACUACGUGCCAGCCGCCGCUGUACUACGUAGGGGGCAAGCGUUAUCCGGGUUUACUGGGGGUAAAGGGAGCGUAGACGGCAGUGCAAGUCUGGAGUUAAAGGCGGGGGCUCAAACCCCGGACUGCUCUGGAAACGGUACGGCUGGAGUGCAGGAGAGGUAAGUGGAAUUCCUAGUGUAGCGGUGACAUGCGUAGAUAGUAGGAGGAACACCAGUGGCGAAGGCGGCUUACUGGACUGUAACUGACGUUGAGGCUCGAAAGCGUGGGGAGCAAACAGGAUUAGAUACCCCAGUAGUC